rnacentral:rRNA from 1 species
AGUGAACGCUGGCGGUAGGCCUAACACAUGCAAGUCGAACGGCAGCACAGUAAGAGCUUGCUCUUACGGGUGGCGAGUGGCGGACGGGUGAGGAAUACAUCGUAAUCUACUUUUUCGUGGGGGAUAACGUAGGGAAACUUACGCUAAUACCGCAUACGACCUACGGGUGAAAGCAGGGGAUCUUCGGACCUUGCGCGUUUGAAUGAGCCGAUGUCGGAUUAGCUAGUUGGCGUGGUAAAGGCCCACCAAGGCGACGAUCCGUAGCUGGUCUGAGAGGAUGAUCAGCCACACUGGAACUGAGACACGGUCCAGACUCCUACGGGAGGCAGCAGUGGGGAAUAUUGGACAAUGGGCGCAAGCAUGAUCCAGCCAUACCGCGUGGGUGAAGAAGGCCUUCGGGUUGUAAAGCCCUUUUGUUGGGAAAGAAAAGCAGCAGGUUAAUACCCCGCUGUUCUGACGGUACCCAAAGAAUAAGCACCGGCUAACUUCGUG